AUAAUUCAUGGACUUGCAAAUCUGAACUACAAAUUAGAUGUGAUAGGUUUAGGUUAUCCAACAAAUAUUAGUUUGGCUGCAUACCCCAAAAGCAUAAUUAAAUGGAAUACAGAAUUAAGCUACUCCAUCCUUUGAAAAGAACCAAAAACAAAAUCAUCCACAACUAAACAUUAACAUGCACAAGCAAAGCAUUAUGCCUUUACCAUAUUCACUACAAGUUUUUCUAGUAUAACUAUCUACCAACGUCGCUAAUAACAAAAAUAAGAACCACCCAUCAUCCACCAUCAUCAUCAAUUAGGUCUUUGAUCACCUCCUUGCAGCCAAUACCAUCCACCAAACAACAAUACACAUCUUCUAAGCACGUUCACCUCGGAUUCUCCGAGCCAACUGGAUAUCUUUAGGCAUUAUAGUAACGCGCUUUGCAUGAAUGGCACAGAGAUUGGUGUCCUCGAACAACCCAACAAGGUAGGCCUCGGCUGCCUCUUGCAAUGCCAGAACAGCAUGGCUCUGGAAACGCAGAUCAGUCUUAAAGUCCUGGGCAAUUUCACGAACCAACCUCUGGAAGGGCAACUUCCUAAUCAAAAGCUCAGUACUCUUUUGAUACUUACGGAUUUCACUGCAUGAAUAAAAAUGGAAUGAAGCAGUUAAUAACUUUUACUCAAACCGGUAU
rnacentral:misc_RNA from 1 species